rnacentral:misc_RNA from 1 species
GAUGAAGAACGCAGCGAAAUGCGACAAGUAAUGUGAAUUGCAGAAUUCCGUGAAUCAUCGAAUCUUUGAACGCACAUUGCGCCCGCCAGUAUUCUGGCGGGCAUGCCUGUUCGAGCGUCAUUACAACCCUCAGGCCCCCGGGCCUGGCGUUGGGGAUCGGCGGAAGCCCCCUGCGGGCACAACGCCGUCCCCCAAAUACAGUGGCGGUCCCGCCGCAGCUUCCAUUGCGUAGUAGCUAACACCUCGCAACUGGAGAGCGGCGCGGCCACGCCGUAAAACACCCAACUUCUGAAUGUUGACCUCGAAUCAGGUAGGAAUACCCGCUGAACUUAAGCAUAUCAAUAAGCGGAGGA